GGCCCGGAAGUCGUUGCGAAACCGGCGUUGGCCUCCGGAGCCAAAGGUCGCGGGUUCGAAUCCUGCAUUGA
rnacentral:tRNA from 1 species